GUGAGUCUGACAUCUGUUUCCUGACUGGAGGCCUGCUCUGAGCUGCAGAUGGAACAAAUACAUUAAUAGAGAAGUGAGACUGAGUGGAAGCGUCCAAACAGUCCAAACAGUUAGUUUCAGUUCCUCAAACAUGGAGGGGUCUUAGGAUGAGUUGGGGGGGGGGGCUGGUGGAACAGUCCAGAAUAGAUGGAUUUAGUUCCUCCAGAGCACGCAGAGGCCAUGAGGUCAGUGGAUGGGAGCAGUGCACGGAGGGUGAUGGAUGUUGUCAUCACGUAUGUUAAUUAAGUGUGCAGUCAUUGCAUAUGCAAAAGGUUCAGUUGUUGUAUAAAUUGCACUGGAUCGAGACACGAGUUGGGAGUCGUUGCGAGGUGGUCACUCGUUGCAAGCCAGGGUAGAAAUGCUCUGAGCAAAGGGGAUUUUACCACGUAACUCGGACGGGGGAUUCAACAUGAUCUGCAAAGGAAUAACUGUUCUAUUGGAAUUAUGGACUGAAGGAGUGCUCUUUCUGCACUGUUUGAGGAUUACGAAAGACUGUGAUCUAAAAAUAACGCUGACUGAAGGAAUAUAACUGAACUCUAUUAUUUCCAAAGGAUUAACACCAGAAUGGAUUAACAAAGUUUUUACUGGCCCAAAGAACAAAAAUGGAUACAAGCAGAUCUAAAUCUGGACCGAACCCCCUCCACCUCCUCCCUGGAGCAGAGCCCCAGUGGGGCGUCGGUCUUCAGACCAAAGAACUACAGACUCUUCACAACCUGCUCAAACUCUUGGUACAGGACCUCACCACAUGGGUCAAGAAGGUUUCCAUCUCAUUUCUACUCUGAAGCUCACCUUCUCCUGCUCAGACUGCUGACAAAUGUUUCUGCUGCUCUAAAGUCUGGACUCCAGAACUUCCUAAAAACUCUCAAAGUCUCUUCUGCUGCAGGUUGCUUUGUAGAACUGUUGCAGAAAACCUCACUAAACCACAUGGAGGGGCCUCAAGAUAGUCGUCCAAAUGAAAACGUACAAAAACCAAACUAGCACAACCCAAACGCUAAAGUCUCCUGCAGCCUACCAGAGAACCUCUGAGAACAGAGAAUCAGGACAGGAACUCUUACCUUCUGGACAACCAACGUUGGUUCUCAAACAAGAAUACAGAAUGUGUCUGACCAGAAACCUCUAAAGACUCACUACAGCCAAGAUAAAGACACAACUCACCUGCACCAAAUCCACUAAUCACUGCACACAUUAGCACCAUGUGCUAACUGUGGCUAAACAACCACAUUUACCAAGACAACUAUCCAGUACAAAGCCCUAAAACACACCAAGAAACACAUUAAAGAUGAUUUUACUGCUGGAAGCUGCAAGCCAACGCCUAAAGAACAAACUAAAGCAAUGGAGCCAAACACAGCUCAGUGGUGAAGAGAACCAGAGGAAAUGUUUGGCUGCAGCUAAAUAAAGCAGGAAGACACUGAGCUGCUCAGGUGUUCCUGAUAACACCAAGCAGCCACCUGGACAGCCAAUAGGAACACAGCUUACUGGAAGUCCAGAGGACUGGGUUAGUGAAGGAAAUUUAGUUUAAAGUUGAAGCAGAAAGUUAACAGAGAAAGUUGAAAACCACCUUCUGAUACCUGAAAUCUCUGAGUUUUCACACAAAGAACGCCUGAACAUGUCAAACUGGUUCCAUUGUAGAACCAUCAUUGUAAAAACGUCAUAGUAUGGUGUGUUGCUGUCUAGGGUCUCUGAAGAGCAACACAAAAACAGGACAAACACUGGUUUCCAGGGGGUUAGGAGGCUAUUUAUUUGAAAGAGUAAGUUUACAACAACACAUGAGGAGAAAAAUCACAAAAUCUGUCUUUAGUUCAUCUGAAAAUACUAGUUUUUGUCUUUUUUAUUGACCAAAAUUUUCAGGAAGUAGAUGAAGAAUAAUUAAAGCUCUCAUGUAGAAGUCCAACUUAUUUUGGAUCCUUGUGGAGAGUUUAAUCUUAGAGUUUGUAAAGCUGUUGAGUUUUUAGAGUCACAUGGAUUGUUUUGACAUUUAAUAACCGAGUCCUGAAAUAAAAUUACAGUUGUGGA